GAACCCUGACGGAGCAACGCCGCGUGCGGGAGGACGGCCUGUGGGUUGUAAACCGCUUUUCUCAGGGAAGAAGUUCUGACGGUACCUGAGGAGUCAGCAUCGGCUAACUCCGUGCCAGCAGCCGCGGUAAUACGGAGGAUGCAAGCGUUAUCCGGAAUUAUUGGGCGUAAAGCGUCCGUAGGCGGUGAGUUAAGUCUGCUGUCAAAGCCUGCAGCUCAACUGUGGAGUGGCAGUGGAAACUGAUUGACUAGAGUGCGAUAGGGGUAGAGGGAAUUCCCAGUGUAGCGGUGAAAUGCGUAGAUAUUGGGAAGAACACCAGUGGCGUAGGCGCUCUACUGGGUCGCAACUGACGCUGAGGGACGAAAGCUAGGGGAGCG
rnacentral:rRNA from 1 species